AGGACUAACGCUGGCGGCGUGCCUAACACAUGCAAGUCGAGCGGGGUAGCAAUACCCAGCGGCAGACGGGUGAGUAACGCGUGGUCAACCUUCCGUUGAAUGGGGGAUAACUAGCCGAAAGGUUAGCUAAUACCGCAUACGAUCUUUUGAAGGCAUCUUUAAAAGAUGAAAGGAGCAAUUCGUUCAACGACGGGACCGCGUCCCAUUAGCUAGAUGGUGGGGUAAUGGCCUACCAUGGCAACGAUGGGUAGCUGGUUUGAGAGAGCGACCAGCCACACUGGGACUGAGAAACGGCCCAGACUCCUACGGGAGGCAGCAGUGAGGAAUUUUUCCGCAAUGGGCGAAAGCCUGACGGAGCGACGCCGCGUGUGGGAAGAAGGCCUUCGGGUCGUAAACCACUGUCGAAGGGGACGAUAAUGACGGUACCUUGGAGGAAGCCCCGGCUAACUACGCGCCAGCAGCCGC
rnacentral:rRNA from 1 species